UAGGGAAUCUUCGGCAAUGGGGGCAACCCUGACCGAGCAACGCCGCGUGAGUGAAGAAGGUUUUCGGAUCGUAAAGCUCUGUUGUAAGAGAAGAACGUGUGUGAGAGUGGAAAGUUCACACAGUGACGGUAACUUACCAGAAAGGGACGGCUAACUACGUGCCAGCAGCCGCGGUAAUACGUAGGUCGCGAGCGUUGUCCGGAUUUAUUGGGCGUAAAGCGAGCGCAGGCGGUUUAAUAAGUCUGAAGUUAAAGGCAGUGGCUUAACCAUUGUUCGCUUUGGAAACUGUUAAACUUGAGUGCAGAAGGGGAGAGUGGAAUUCCAUGUGUAGCGGUGAAAUGCGUAUAUAUAUGGAGGAACACCGGUGGCGAAAGCGGCUCUCUGGUCUGUAACUGACGCUGAGGCUCGAAAGCGUGGGGAGCAAACAGG
rnacentral:rRNA from 1 species